GUGUCAGCCGCCGCGGUAAUACGUAGGGUGCAAGCAUUAAUCGGAAUUAUUGGGCGUAAAGGGCGCGUAGGCGGAUUUAUAAGUCAGAUGUGAAAUUCCAAGGCUCACCCUUGGAACUGCAUUUGAUACUGUAAAUCUUUGAGGAUUGGCGGAGAAAAUGGAAUUCCACAUGUAGCGGUGAAAUGCGUGGAUAUGUGGAGGAACACCGGUGGCGAAAGCGGUUUUCUAGCUUAUUCCUGACGCUGAGGCGCGAGAGCAAGGGGAGCAAACAGGAUUAGAUACCCUGGUAGUCCUUGCCGUAAACGAUGUAUACUUGAUGUAAUUGGGCUCAACCCUAAUUGUGUCGUAGCUAACGCGAUAAGUAUACCGCCUGAGGAGUACGCUCGCAAGGGUGAA
rnacentral:rRNA from 1 species